rnacentral:tRNA from 1 species
GGAAGGGUACAGCUCAGUGGUAGAGUGCGUGCUUGUAGGCACGAGGUCCUGGGUUCAAUCCCCUGUACCUCCA